AUGGCCGAAGCAUCGCGUCCGCGCACGCACCCGUAUGCCCCUACCGCCUAUGUACGCCCAUGCCCGCCGUCGCAUGCCUGCUGCAGCCCGCGCCCUCAUUCGCCCCUGGCUGUAUUCGUCCGCGCAUGCGUGCACCCGCCGCACCCUGGCCGAGCGCCCGCGCCGCUCGUGCCUCCCGCGCUCGCCCAGCUACUUCUUGCUGCUGCAGCGCUGCUGUUGCUGCUCGGCUACUGCCGCUACUACUUGCUGUCGCCAUGGCAGUGGCCAUGGCCUUGUGUGGUGUGCGUGCGUGUAUUCUGGGCAACACAACAUAAAGCGGUGAAAAAAACACUCACCUCGCACGUCCCCCUGCCUGCAAUCCCGAAACGCCGCCAUCGCUCCAGGCUCCAGCCUCCGCCGUCCUACAUCUUGCCCCUCUCCAACCUCAGAGACCUCCGCCACCGCCGCCAUCUCGGAACCCCAGUUCAGGGUAGGACUCAGAGAGGGUGUGGCUGUGGACGACGCUGCCGCCGUCGCAGAACCCUAGGGCAGGGCGUGGUCGCGUUGCGGGCAGCGCGAGCGGCCGUGCGUCUCCCCCGUCAGGCUGUCCUCGGCAGGAACUCGGGACCUCCUCCUGACAGAGCUAAGGCCCUCCGAGGUCCAAGUCGCUGUGCGGCGUGCACACAAGCAGCAGAGUCUCUCGGGUUCGAGCUCCACCGGGCCGCCGGCGGCGGCGUCCAUGUUCGUUGGGCGGAGCACAACGCUAGGUUUGAAAUUCACCAUGAUGCUACUGAUGAGGCUCUCCUUCUCCUUUGUUUCGUCUGGGUUUUUUCGUCCCCCCUCCCACCACCCCAUCUCGUCUGGCGAUGUAGCGCCGCCCCAAUCUCCUCGCUCCGCUGCCGCCGCCCCAAUCUCCCCGCUCCGCCCCCGCCGCCCCCCGCCUUCCACUAUCACUCGCUCAGCCACCUCCACCCUCCUCUACAUCGCAGGAGGAAAGCGCUCGAGCAGGUGAGGAGGGAGUCGGUGCGGCAGGGCGCGGCGCUGGACGAGCUGAGGCGGCGGCUCGAGCGGCGGCGGGCGCGUGCGGACGAGCUCCUCGUCGCCAGGCAGAGGGCCGAUGAGGGCGUCGAGUGCCGCAAGGAGCAGAUGCAGGCGCAGAUCGAGCGGGUGCUGUCGCUCUCCAGGGCCCUCGCCGCCGCGCACCGGCAAGUGCAGCGUGUUUAUGCGUGCUGCUUGCUGCUUGCUGGCUGCCGAUGGAUGCUUGUUGCGUGUGCAUGCAUGUUUCAUGAUGGAACUAGAAAGGCCCUUCUGAAGCGGAACGACAACAUUGGCGUGGACGACUCGGAGCUCAACCCCGUCAAGGGUCGCGAGCAGGAGCGGCUUUCUUUUCCUCACAAAGAUGACCAAGGUCCAAGGGCGCCGUCGACCACUUUGUCAUUGUCGUCGAAGAGUCCAAGCUUGUCCCCGCAUCGGUUGCAUUGGUGCCGAUCAGCUUCUGUGACCUCUGUUGGCCUCAUCAAGGUUCCUUCACCCUCCAGCUGCUCACGUGCUUCUCUGUUCAUCGCAGGUCCAGGGGUAAUGAAUUUUCAUGUGCUGGAUCAACAUGCAGAUCCUGCCCAUCUUGAAGUCAUAAAUCCAGUGAAGUCAAUUUCAGUAUAUUCAGGACAUAGCCAGUAG
rnacentral:rRNA from 1 species